UACGGAGGGUGCAAGCGUUAUCCGGAUUCACUGGGUUUAAAGGGUGCGUAGGUGGGCAAGUAAGUCAGUGGUGAAAUCUCCGGGCUUAACCCGGAAACUGCCAUUGAUACUAUUUGUCUUGAAUACUGUGGAGGUCAGCGGAAUAUGUCAUGUAGCGGUGAAAUGCUUAGAUAUGACAUAGAACACCAAUUGCGAAGGCAGCUUGCUACACAACUAUUGACUCUGAUGCACGAAAGCGUGGGGAUCAAACAGG
rnacentral:rRNA from 1 species